rnacentral:rRNA from 1 species
AAGGCACCACCAGGAUCGGAGCCUGCGGCUUAAUUUGACUCAACACGGGGAAACUCACCCGGCCCGGACACUGUAGGGAUGGACAGAUUAAAAUCUCUUUCUUGAUUCAGCGGGUGGUGGUGCAUGGCCGAACUUAGUUGGGGCAGUGAUUUGACUGGAUAAUUCCAAUAACGAACGAAACUCUCUUGUGUUUUGUGCGCUCACCGGCCGACACUUCACAAUGACGGUGCUAUGGGGCGUUCGCUUGUUAAAAGGAGAAUCAGCAUUUAAACUGCAAGAAAUAGAGUUAUAACAGGUCUGCGGGGAUAUUAGAUGUCAGAACCCGCACGCACGCUACCAUGAAAAAAGCAGGAACCGUCAAAACGCCGUCCUGAAUGCGUUUUUCCAUAGACUCCGCCCCCGUGACGAGAAUGACAAAGAUCCACACUCAACCCCCACGUGACAGAAACCGACAGAACUAUCAAGAUACCAGGUGGUUCCCACUGCAACCUCCCUCUUGCGCUCUCCUGAUCCGACCCU